GUCUGAGCCACACAAGACACAUUCAGACACGCACCAACAACCAUGGCUUCUACUUUGUGUUACAAUUCUCUUAACCCUUCAACAACUGCUUUCUCAAGAACCCACUUCUCAGUUCCCGUGAAUAAAGAGCUUCCACUGGAUGCUUCACCUCUUGUUAGCUAUAACUGUCCCCUGGGAUGCAGAACCAGGAAGCAGAGGAGAAAAGUGAUGUAUGUGAAAGGUGCGAUGGUAGAGGCUCCACCAAGUGUUUCACCCUCAUCACAAGGUGGGAGUGGGGGCCCUUCAAAGAAGCAGCUUCGGGUACUUGUUGCUGGUGGAGGGAUUGGAGGGUUGGUUUUUGCGUUGGCUGCAAAGAGAAAGGGGUUUGACGUGGUAGUGUUUGAGAAGGACCUGAGUGCUGUA
rnacentral:lncRNA from 1 species